rnacentral:rRNA from 1 species
CCAGCAGCCGCGGUAAUUCCAGCUCCAAUAGCGUAUAUUAAAGUUGUUGCAGUUAAAAAGCUCGUAGUUGGAUUUCUGGCAGGAGCGACCGGUCUCACACUCUGUGUGAGAACUCGUGUUGUCUCUGGCCAUCCUUGGGGAGAUCCUGUUUGGCAUUAAGUUGUCGGGCAGGGGAUACCCAUCGUUUACUGUGAAAAAAUUAGAGUGUUUAAAGCAGGCUUAUGCCGUUGAAUAUAUUAGCAUGGAAUAAUAAGAUAGGACUUGGGUGCUAUUUUGUUGGUUGCGCACUUAGGUAAUGAUUAAUAGGGACAGUUGGGGGUAUUCAUAUUUGAUUGUCAGAGGUGAAAUUCUUGGAUUUAUCGAAGAUGAACAACUGCGAAAGCAUUUACCAAGGAUGUUUUCA